CCUACGGGUGGCAGCAGUGAGGAAUAUUGGUCAAUGGGCGCGAGCCUGAACCAGCCAAGUAGCGUGAAGGAUGACUGCCCUACGGGUUGUAAACUUCUUUUAUAAAGGAAUAAAGUGAGGCACGUGUGCCUUUUUGUCUGUACUUUAUGAAUAAGGAACGGCUAACUCCGUGCCAGCAGCCGAGGUAAUACGGAGGUUCCGAGCGUUAUCCGGAUUUAUUGGGUUUAAAGGGAGCGUAGAUGGGUUGUUAAGUCAGUUGUGAAAAGUUGCAGCUCAACCGUAAAAUUGCAAUGGAUACUGGCAGACUUGAGUACAGUGGAGGUAGGCGGAAUUCGUGGUGUAGCGGUGAAAUGCUUAGAUAUCACGAAGAACUCCGAUGGCGAAGGCAGCUUACUAAACUGCCACUGACAUUGAUGCUCGAAAGUGUGGGUAUCAAACAGGAUUAGAUACCCGAGUAGUC
rnacentral:rRNA from 1 species